GAGCUGCAGAGAAAUGACUCUCAGGUUAGUUGGAGCUUUAAUGAGUGCUCCGCUGUGGGAAGCAGCAGUGAUCAUCUUUCAACAUUUCCACACCAACACACAUCCAGCAGAUGGGACUCACCCAGCAGCCUGUGGACAGAUGUUCCCUCCAUUCUGCAGCUGGAUAAAAUGAGACCAACAGCAGUUUGACCGACAGGGGAAGAAUGAGGUGGGUCUGGGAGUGGAGAGUUUGUCCUUGAGUGGAGAACAUGAUCCAGGGAUUCCCAAGCUACUUGCUGAAGGUAAGUGAGAUCCAAAAGGAAGGCCAGAGAGAGGCAGGGUGGAGUUUGGUGGUAAGCAUGGUGGGGUUUGAGCAGGGUUACCAGUAUCUUGAGAGAGGAGCCAGAAUGCUGUCAGCUGGGAUCUUGUCCAAAAGGAGGUCUGAAUCAUCGAAGGAGGCUUGGAACCAGAAGGAGAACUGGAGUGGAAUCCAGUGAACUAUGUAACCUGGGGAGGAGCACAAUCAAGGAUGAUGAGGUUUGAUGAAGAACACCUGUCUCACCCUCAGAGACCCUGCUCUGGCACCACCUAGAGGAAUCCAAAGGAAGUGCAAGCAGCAAAGGAAACAGAGUCUCCUAGACUCCAACAAAACUUCAGACAGAGUUCUUCGAAUGACAUAAUAAUGCCCUUUAAAUAUAGAUCAACUAUUUUCUGAAGUCCUUUACUUGCCCAUAAUCUGAAGCCUCCAUCUGCUUUCCCUGUUGGGAAGAGUUCAUUACCAAACAUUUGUGAAAAAUACGAAAGGGAAGCUGUAUCUUUAAAAUGUUUAUGAGCUUAAAACCAGAUGUCAAUUGUAUUCUUAAGGAAUGGAUUUUUUCUUCCAUGUAUUAGUUUUUUGACUUCUGCCGAAUAAAAGUAUGAAUUUAUCUCAA